UUAAGCAGUUCGGACAAUGUGGAGUCUUAUGAGUAUAUACGAAUUAUGUUCUUUUUAAAUUUUCAUAAUAUUAGAGAUGAAUUUAGUCUCUAAAUCUUGCCUUCUAGGUUAUAGGACUUCAUUUUUUUAUUAAUAAACAUUGAAAAUAGGCUACCCCUAACAAAGGUUAAUUUGGCAGUGAAGUUAGCAGUGCUAUAGUAAGUCCAUUCUGAUGUAAGAACUGCCCUCAUCUAAAGCACUUAAUUAAGGAAAUGUCAGAAGUAAUGGGUUUUAAAAACUGAUUAUCAAAAUUUAUUGAUUGUUCAAUCUGUAAAACAAAUCUGGUCUUUGUGGUUUUUCAUGGCCCGGUUAAUUGUGUCUAUUAUAUGCCAGGUUUUGUAUAUUGCUCUUUGAAAGUUCCAUUAAAAUCUGAUUCAUUUUGAUUUGAAGAUCUGUAAAUUAGAUCUGUAGUCUAAUAAAAUUAUGAGCGUUCAUUUAGUUCUUGGAAUAGAAUGUUAAAUUUUACAGUGUGAUCUUUACCAUUUUUUUUUCUUUCUGUGCCAAGCCUUUAACCAAAGAACAGUUAAAA
rnacentral:lncRNA from 1 species